rnacentral:rRNA from 1 species
UACGGGGGGGGCAAGCGUUGUUCGGAAUUACUGGGCGUAAAGGGCUCGUAGGCGGCCAACUAAGUCGGAUGUGAAAUCCCCAGGCUUAACCUGGGAACUGCAUCCGAUACUGGAUGGCUUGAAUCCGGGAGAGGGAUGUGGAAUUCCAGGUGUAGCGGUGAAAUGCGUAGAUAUCUGGAGGAACACCGGUGGCGAAGGCGGCAUCCUGGACCGGUAUUGACGCUGAGGUGCGAAAGCCAGGGGAGCAAACGGG